rnacentral:rRNA from 1 species
GAUGAACGCUAGCUACAGGCUUAACACAUGCAAGUCGAGGGGCAGCACGGUGUAGCAAUACACUGGUGGCGACCGGCGCACGGGUGCGUAACGCGUAUCCAACUUUCCCGUUACUCUCGGAUAGCCUUCCGAAAGGGAGAUUAAUACGAGAUGGUGUUCAGUUUCCGCAUGUUUACUGAACUAAAGAUUCAUCGGUAACGGAUAGGGAUGCGUGACAUUAGAUAGUUGGCGGGGUAGCGGCCCACCAAGUCAACGAUGUCUAGGGGUUCUGAGAGGAUGAACGGCCACAUUGGGACUGAGAUACGGCCCAGACUCCUACGGGAGGCAGCAGUGGGGAAUAUUGGGCAAUGGGGGAAACCCUGACCCAGCAACGCCGCGUGAAGGAAGAAGGCCCUCGGGUUGUAAACUUCUUUUAGCAGGGACGAAGAACGUGACGGUACCUGCAGAAAAAGCAAACGGCUAACUACGUG